rnacentral:rRNA from 1 species
GACGAACGCUGGCGGCGUGCUUAACACAUGCAAGUCGAACGGAAAGGCCCUGCUUUUGUGGGGUGCUCGAGUGGCGAACGGGUGAGUAACACGUGUGUAACCUGCCCUUGACUUUGGGAUAACUUCAGGAAACUGGGGCUAAUACCCGAUAGGAGCUCCUGCUGCAUGGUGGGGGUUGGAAAGUUUCGGCGGUUGGGGAUGGACUCGCGGCUUAUCAGUUUGUUGGUGGGGUAGUGGCUUACCAAGGCUUCGACGGGUAGCCGGCCUGAGAGGGUGACCGGCCACAUUGGGACUGAGAUAGGGCCCAGAGUCCUACGGGAGGCAGCAGGGGGAAAUAUUGCACAAUGGGCGGAAGCCUGAUGCAGCAACGCCGCGUGCGGGAUGACGGUCUUCGGGUUGUAAACAGCUUUCGCCUGUGACGAAGCGUGAGUGACGGUAAUGGGUAAAGAAGCACCGGCUAACUACGUG